UACGUAGGGUGCGAGCGUUGUCCGGAAUUAUUGGGCGUAAAGAGCUCGUAGGCGGUGUGUCGCGUCGGCCGUGAAAACCUGGGGCUCAACUCUGGGCGUGCGGUCGAUACGGGCAUCACUUGAGUUCGGCAGGGGAGACUGGAAUUCCUGGUGUAGCGGUGAAAUGCGCAGAUAUCAGGAGGAACACCGGUGGCGAAGGCGGGUCUCUGGGCCGAUACUGACGCUGGAG
rnacentral:rRNA from 1 species